rnacentral:rRNA from 1 species
GCGAACGCUGGCGGCAGGCCUAACACAUGCAAGUCGAACGAACCUUUCGGGGUUAGUGGCGGACGGGUGAGUAACACGUGGGAACGUGCCUUUAGGUUCGGAAUAACUCAGGGAAACUUGUGCUAAUACCGAAUGUGCCCUUCGGGGGAAAGAUUUAUCGCCUUUAGAGCGGCCCGCGUCUGAUUAGCUAGUUGGUUGAGGUAAUGGCUCACCAAGGCGACGAUCAGUAGCUGGUCUGAGAGGAUGAUCAGCCACAUUGGGACUGAGACACGGCCCAAACUCCUACGGGAGGCAGCAGUGGGGAAUCUUGCGCAAUGGGCGAAAGCCUGACGCAGCCAUGCCGGGUGAAUGAUGAAGGUCUUAGGAUUGUAAAAUUCUUUCACCGGGGACGAUAAUGACGGUACCCGGAGAAGAAGCCCCGGCUAACUUCGUG